UGAACAAAAACAACAUAUAUAUAAUAGGUGUGUAGUUUAUUUAUUUCAUUCAUGAGACUAACAGAGAAAUCUACAAAAUUGCAAGAGAUCAGAAAAUAAUUAACCAAAUGUGAUUCUUUCAUUUCAGAAGUGUAAUGAGGAUCUGAACAUCAGAAAUUAAGGUGAUGAAAUAUAGAUUAUAAUAUAGAUACAGAGACACUUAAUUUUUCAACAGUAAAUACUCCUAAAGAUUGAAAUUAUGAGAGUAACCCCAAAUGCCUGAAAACAAGCCAAUGUCACAGGCAUCCAUCCCCCAGUCAACUUUUUAACCUAAAAAUCCAUAUUCAUUUACUGCUGUCAUGGAUUCCACUACAAUAGGAUGGCAUUGAUUUGUCCUGUCAUCAGCAAUGCAAGACAUAAAAUUUUCUUGCAGCCUUACAAAUUUAGAUAAAACUUUUCCCCAAAAGUUUGCCAAAUUGGUAUAUUAUGUUGUAGCUCACUGUAAUUUCUUUGGAUUUCUUGGUCACUUGAAAGGUAAAAUCAAUUUCCUUUUAUUCGGCAUUUUAUGGAAAGAUUUGCGUGAUCACAAUACUUCUCAUUUUUAUUACGUUUUCAUAUAUUUAAUAACUGGUUUAUAGAAAAUAAAGAUAUAGUUAACAUGAAAUGCAGAGCCUUAAUAUUUUUUAUUCUGUUUUUGUCCUUUUUACAUAUAAGGUUUUAUAUAGUCAAGUAUGUUAAUAUUUUUGGUAAUUCUUAAAUUUUUGUCCCUGCCUUCUCCUAAUAUAGAAAAUUACUUCUCAUUCCUUAUUGUUACACAUACAGCUAUUGCUAAACUUAGUUUUGGGCUACUUCUUUCUUUUCGGAUGAUAUGUAUGUCUAUAGAACCAUACUUCUUAUUAUUCCAAGUCUUCUUGUCAACUAAUCCUAUGGGAUUCGGGAUAAUUUUAUCCAGGUCUGAGAAACUUGCUUUUCAGUUGUCGUGCACUUUGUGCAUAUAUGAAAA